rnacentral:rRNA from 1 species
GACGAACGCUGGCGGCGUGCUUAACACAUGCAAGUCGAACGGUGAAGGUGGGAGCUUGCUCCUGCUGGAUCAGUGGCGAACGGGUGAGUAACACGUGAGUAACCUGCCCUUGACUCUGGGAUAAGCGUUGGAAACGACGUCUAAUACCGGAUACGAGCUUCAGCCGCAUGGCUAGGAGUUGGAAAGAUUUUUCGGUCAAGGAUGGACUCGCGGCCUAUCAGCUUGUUGGUGAGGUAAUGGCUCACCAAGGCGACGACGGGUGGCCGGCCUGAGAGGGUGACCGGCCACACUGGGACUGAGACACGGUCCAGACUCCUACGGGAGGCAGCAGUUUGGAAUUUUGCACAAUGGGCGAAAGCCUGAUGCAGCGACGCCGCGUGGACGAUGAAGGCCUUCGGGUUGUAAAGUCCUUUUGCUCGGGAACAAUUUUUGAGCGUACCGAGAGAAUAAGAGGUUGCUAACUCUGUGCCAGCCGCCGCCGUAA